UACGGAGGGUGCAAGCGUUAUCCGGAUUUACUGGGUUUAAAGGGUGCGUAGGCGGGCCAUUAAGUCAGUGGUGAAAGCUCCGAGCUUAACUCGGAAACUGCCAUUGAUACUAUUGGCCUUGAAUUCGGUCGAGGUUGGCGGAAUGUGUCGUGUAGCGGUGAAAUGCUUAGAUAUGACACAGAACACCGAUUGCGAAGGCAGCUAGCUAGACCGACAUUGACGCUGAGGCACGAAAGCGUGGGGAUCAAACAGG
rnacentral:rRNA from 1 species